rnacentral:rRNA from 1 species
UAGGGAAUCUUUCGCAAUGGACGAAAGUCUGACGGAGCAACGCCGCGUGAGCGAUGAAGGUCUUCGGAUCGUAAAGCUCUGUUGUUAGGGAAGAACAAGUACCGGAGUAACUGUCGGUACCUUGACGGUACCUAACCAGAAAGCCACGGCUAACUACGUG